AGAAUCAACGCUGGCGGAGUGCCUAACACAUGCAAGUCGAACGAGAAAGUGGAGCAAUCCAUGAGUAAAGUGGCGCACGGGUGAGUAACACGUGACUAACCUACCCUUGAGUGGGGGAUAACCUCGGGAAACCGGGGCUAAUACCGCAUAAUAUCGAGAGAUCAAAGGAGCAAUUCGCUUAAGGAGGGGGUCGCGGCUGAUUAGCUAGUUGGUAGGGUAAUGGCCUACCAAGGCGACGACGGGUAGCCGGCCUGAGAGGGCGACCGGCCACACUGGGACUGAGACACGGCCCAGACUCCUACGGGAGGCAGCAGUGGGGAAUAUUGCGCAAUGGGCGAAAAGCCUGACGCAGCGACGCCGCGUGGGGGAUGAAGGCCUCGGGUUGUAAACCCUUUCAGCAGGACGAAGCGAGAGUGACGGUACCUGCAGAAGAAGCGCCGGCUAACUACGACGCCAGCAGCCGC
rnacentral:rRNA from 1 species